rnacentral:lncRNA from 1 species
AUGGGAAAGACUAGAGAUCUCUUCAAGACAAUUAGAGAUACCAAGGAAAUAUGUCAUGCAAAGAUGGGCACAAUAAAGGACAGAAAUUAUAUGGACCUAACAGAAGCAGAAGAUAUUAAGAAGAGGUGGCAAGAAUACACAGAAGAACUAUACAAAAAAGAUUUUCAUGACCCAGAUAACCAUGAUGGUGUGAUCACUCACCUAGAGCCAGACAUCCUGGAAUGUGAAGUCAAGUGGGCCUUAGGAAGCAUCACUACAAACAAAGCUAGUGGAGGUGAUAGAAUUCCAGUUGAGUUAUGUCAAAUCCUGAAAGAUGAUGCUGUGAAAGUGCUGCACUCAAUAUGCCAGCAAAUUUGGAAAAUUCAGCAGUGGCCACAGGACUGGAAAAGGUCAGUUUUCAUUCCAAUCCCAAAGAAAGGCAAUGCCAAAGAAUGCUCAAACUACUGCACAAUUGCACUCAUCUCACAUGCUAGCAAAGGAAUGCUCAAAAUUCUCCAAGCCAGGCUUCAACAGUAUGUGAACCAUGAAGUUCCAGAUGUUCAGGCUGGAUUUAGAAAAGGCAGAGGAACCAGAGAUCAAAUUGCCAACAUCCACUGGAUCAUUGAAAGAGCAAAAGAGUUCCAGAAAAACAUCUACUUAUGCUUUAUUGACUAUGCCAAAGCCUUUGACUGUGUGAAUCACAAUAAACUGUGGAAAAUUCUGAGAGAGAUGGGAAUACCAGACCACCUGACCUGCCUCUUGAGAAAUCUGUAUGCAGGUCAAGAAGCAACAGUUAGAACUGAACAUGGAACAACAGACUGGUUCCAAAUUGGGGAAGGAGUACACCAAGGCUGUAUAUUGUCACCUUGCUUAUUUAACUUCUAUGCAGAGUGCAUCAUGUGUAAUGCCAGGCUGGAUGAAGCACAAGCUGGAAUCAAGAUUGCCAGGAGAAAUAUUAAUAACCUCAGAUAUGCAGAUGACACCACCCUUAUGGCAGAGAGCGAAGAAGAACUAAACAGCCUCUUGAUGAAAGUGGAAGAGGAGAGUGAAAAAUUUGGCUUAAAACUCAACAUUCAGAAAACUAAGAUCAUGGCAUCCAGUCUCAUCACUUCAUGGCAAAUAGAUGGGGAAACAAGGGAAACAGUGAGAGACUUUAUUUUUGGGGGCUCCAAAAUCACUACAGAUGUUGACUGCAGCUAUGUAAUUAAAAGAUGCUUGCUGCUUGGAAGCAAAGUUAUGACCAACCUAAACAGCAUAUUAAAAAGCAGAGACAUUACUUUGCCAACAAAGGUCCAUCUUGUCAAAGCUAUGAUUUUUCCAGUACUCAUGUACGGAUGUGAGAGUUGGACUAUAAAGAAAGCUGAAUGUUGA